AACUUUGCACAGUGGCAAUAUUGUAGCCAAUGAUGUUUAUCUGAGAUGAGAUUAUUACUAAUUGAAAACUUUUCCUAAUACCCCGCCAUGAUAACUUUCAAGGAAGCUUUAGCAUCUAUUAAUGCUACAUGAUGCA
rfam:Otolemur garnettii contig036976, whole genome shotgun sequence.